rnacentral:rRNA from 1 species
CCUACGGGUGGCAGCAGUAGGGAAUCUUUCACAAUGGGCGAAAGCCUGAUGGAGCAACGCCGCGUGCAGAAUGAAGGCCUUCGGGUUGUAAACUGCUUUUAUAAGCGAGAAAUAUGAUGGUAACUUAUGAAUAAGGAUCGGCUAACUACGUGCCAGCAGCCGCGGUCAUACGUAGGAUCCGAGCAUUAUCCGGAGUGACUGGGUGUAAAGAGUUGCGUAGGUGGCAUAAUAAGUAGCUAGUGGAAUCUGGUGGCUCAACCAUUCAGACUAUUAGCUAAACUGUUAAGCUCGAGACCGUUAGGGGUAACUGGAAUUGCUAGUGUAGGAGUGAAAUCCGUAGAUAUUAGAAGGAACACCAAUAGCGUAGGCAGGUUGCUGGGACGGUUCUGACACUAAGGCACGAAAGCGUAGGGAGCAAACGGGAUUAGAUACCCCUGUAGUC